rnacentral:lncRNA from 1 species
AAAUCUCAACCAAGUUUUAAUUUAAUCCUAAUUGAAAUCCUAAUGGACUUCAAUCAAACCCUAAACAAAUCCUAAAUCCUAAACCAAACUUUAGAUCAAAUCUUAGAUCCUAAAUCAAAUCCUAAAUCAAAUCCUAGAUCAAAUCCUAGACAAAUUAUGAAUCCUAAACUAAACCCUAGAUCAAAGCCUUGACUUUUAAUCAAAUCUUAAAUCAAACCCUAGACAAAUCCUAAAUUCUAAAUCAAAUUCUAAACCAAAUUUUAAAUUAAAUCCUAAACAAAUCCUAAAACCUAAACCAAAUGCUAG